UCCAGGAUCACGGGGAACCUGGUGUUGAAGGACAAAAAGGCCCGGUUUGUCAUCACCCAAUCCCCUCUGGAGCAUCAGCUGUAUGUGAGACGGGCUCUGCUGCUGUGUGUGGGACGACUGAGUGAUACAGGGCUACAGGAGCUACGCUCGGAUACACUACGACACAGUACUGUGUCACACGAUCAGAGCUGUUCACAUUACUUUCUGACCUGUCCACCUCCGGGUUGUGUUCAUUUGAGAAAUGAACAACAACAAAAAUCCUUAACAUUUUGUUAUGGGGAAGUGUCCAUGAAGUUCCGUUUUGUUGAAGACUAUUUUCUCCUGUUUGGUGCUUCAUGAUCACGACCCUUCUAUCCUUUCCUCUGUCAGAACUGCUACAGUUCAUGCUGGGAGAGAUGCAGAGCCACCUGGAUAGCAGCGUAGUGCGUGUGAGGGGCAUGGCGGUGGGGGAGUGUCUCCACUCCUGCAUGGACCUCAAUGGAGCCAAGCUGAAAUUCGAGGAUGAGGAGACAAAAGGAGCUGCUCUCAAUGAUGAUCACUGGCUGAUGAAGAAACGGAGCCGCUUGAUGACAGAUUGGGCAGACUGUAACCGCUCAGGUUGUACCAUCCCAGGCUGCUUCACUGGCCCAAAGAUCAGGAGCUGACCAAGAUUCAGAGCUGGAUAGUGAUGAUUCGCUCACCCCUACUGACCAGGAGAUGAGCCAAGCCACCCCACCUCGCUACCUCCGAGACCUCUUGAUGCCUUUAUCUCCUCCGAGGACCCAGUGAGGCUGGAGCUCAAUCAGAGAGCUGUUGAGGGACUGGUUAGGAAGAACACUUCUACAGACAGGGCAGUCAAGAAAUGGAAUGGCAAGGCCACAGAAUAUGACAUACGCAGACCACCUCGUGCAUGCUCCUAGUAGAGCGGGGUGUGGAGUUUACCCAGUGGUGUAAAGUACUUAAGUAAGUACUACUUAAGCAAUUUUUUGCAGUAUCUGUACUUUA